ACGAUGUUCCGCUGCAAACGAUCGAUCUGCAAGAGCAUCUG
rfam:Bacillus smithii strain DSM 4216, complete genome.